UAGUGGCGAACGGGUGAGUAACACGUGAGCAACCUGCCUUUCAGUGGGGGACAACAUUUGGAAACGAAUGCUAAUACCGCAUAAGACCACAGUGUCGCAUGGCACAGUGGCCAAAGGAGCAAUCCGCUGAAAGAUGGGCUCGCGUCCGAUUAGAUAGUUGGUGGGGUAAUGGCCUACCAAGUCGACGAUCGGUAGCCGGACUGAGAGGUUGAACGGCCACAUUGGGACUGAGACACGGCCCAGACUCCUACGGGAGGCAGCAGUGGGGAAUAUUGCACAAUGGGCGAAAGCCUGAUGCAGCGACGCCGCGUGAGGGAAGAAGGUUUUCGGAUUGUAAACCUCUGUCUUCGGGGACGAUAAUGACGGUACCCGAGGAGGAAGCCACGGCUAACUACGUGCCAGCAGCCGCGGUAAAACGUAGGUGGCAAGCGUUGUCCGGAAUUACUGGGUGUAAAGGGAGCGCAGGCGGGUUUGCAAGUUGAAUGUGAAAACUAUGGGCUCAACCCAUAGACUGCGUUCAAAACUGCAAGUCUUGAGUAAUGUAGAGGUAGGCGGAAUUCCCGGUGUAGCGGUGGAAUGCGUAGAUAUCGGGAGGAACACCAGUGGCGAAGGCGGCCUACUG
rnacentral:rRNA from 2 species